rnacentral:rRNA from 1 species
AAUCAACGCUGGCGGCGCGCUUAACACAUGCAAGUCGAACGAGAAAGGGAGCAAUCCUGAGUAAAGUGGCGUACUGGUGAGUAACACGUGGAUAUCUACCUCUUGGUGGGGAAUAACCUGGGGAAACCUGGGCUAAUACCGCAUAAGUUCGUGAGAAGAAAGGCGCAAGUCGCCGAGAGAGGAGUCCGCGGUCGAUUAGGUAGUUGGCAGGGUAAAAGCCUACCAAGCCGAAGAUCGAUAGCCGGCCUGAGAGGGCACACGGCCACACUGGCACUGAAACACGGGCCAGACUCCUACGGGAGGCAGCAGUGGGGAAUCUUGCACAAUGGGGGAAACCCUGAUGCAGCGACGCCGCGUGAGCGAUGAAGCCCUUCGGGGUGUAAAGCUCUUUUACCAGGGAUGAUAAUGACAGUACCUGGAGAAUAAGCUCCGGCUAACUCCGUGCCAGCAGCCGCGGUAAU